rnacentral:rRNA from 1 species
ACCUUAGUUUUCUAACGUUUAGUACAAAACUUUUACUUUUGACCUUUUUACUUCCGUAAAGACCAAAGACCCUUAGUAAAAACUAAUUAAAUUUUUUAGGUAAAACCUAAAAAUAAAAAUUUAGAAUACAAACUUUCAACAACGGAUCUCUUGGCUCUCGCAUCGAUGAAGAACGCAGCGAAAUGCGAUAAGUAAUGUGAAUUGCAGACCUCAGUGAAUCAUCGAAUCUUUGAACGCAUAUUGCACUCUCUGGUAUUCCGGAGAGUAUGCCUGUUUCAGUAUCAGUAAACACCAUCAAACAACUCCUUGGAGGGGUUUGGAUUUGAGCGUUGCCGAGAAAACUCACCUUUUUUCGGCCUGCUCGAAAUGCAAGUACACAGGACAGGAUCCUAGACCCCCGAGGUGGGAAAAAAAGCGUAGUAGUUGACUUGACUGUCUUCUUUCGCUGAAAAAGAACACCCGGUUUUUGGGACCUUGCUGUGCAAAUUCGCAGGAAGAAAAGUACUAUUCUUUUCACUUCUUGAUCUGAAAUCAGGUAGGACUACCCGCUGAACUUAA